GCUGAUUUUCAUGUCUAACAUUUAACCGUCUGUCUUAUUUAAAAAAAUUAAAAAGAUAAGUCACGCAUAAAAUAUUAAUCAUGUUUUAUCAUCUAACAACAAUGAAAAUACGAAUUAUAAAAAAAUUUUAUAUAAGACGGACAGUUAAAGUUAGAAAAAAAACUC
rnacentral:pre_miRNA from 1 species